GACAAAUGGUUGGUGUAUCCCCCAUUCGUGAGAGAGAAGGACGGGCUGGGACCCGGGCCGAACACAUCCGCCGCCAUCGUGUGCAUUGACGGUCCUGUUAGCCCCGGCUCUGGGCUGGGAGAGUCCCCAUAAUCAGGAGAUAUGGUGGAAUAAAGGUUGAAUUUCAUAUCUUGGGAAAAUAACAUUCGAGAAAGGAAGGAACUCUUAAAAUGACAAAAAGAUCGCUUGGGGAGAUACCCUGAUAGCAGCCGGCACACUUGGUACCAAAACGACUGAAAAGCACCACAGUAGGGAGAAAAUGGUCAAAGGAAUUCUUAAUUCUUGUCCAGGGGCGUACAAACGGAAGAAACGUCGCCUAUAUUUGUAUAGAUCUGCGUUAUCAAGCAACCGAGACCAGAUUAAAUCGGGACCGACACAUCGGCGUGUGACAGAUUGAUCAGUGGACUAUUACAUUUAGAAAAUCGACUGAAAAUGAGCGCAAACAAUUUAUGAGAAAUCUAUGUCAGCAAACUGGCCAAAAGUGACAGAAUGUUAUGUGGGGUGCCUCACAAUGAACCAGACUGACAUUGUC